GCCCUGGGGGCGGGACCACGCCUCCCAGCAGUUCACCCCGGCGGUUCCACGCUCUCGGCUCCGAGUUCCGUCGGCGGCUUUCACCAUCCGCCGGGAGUUGGCUGUUAGCGCGCCGGUAACCCUGUCCCAUCGUCGCGCGAGCCCGCAAUGUCGGUCCCCAACGGGGACCUGGGCGUGCCGGUGGAGGCGGGCGCGGAAGGCGAGGACGACGGCUUCGGAGACGCCGGUGACCCAGGCUAACCACGAGGAAAACACCUGGCAAAUCCCCGGAGAGGGACCCCGUGAACUCCCUGAGCAGCGCUCCUCACACCUGUCAGGGUCAUCAAAGCCAAGGAAGGCCGAGCAGCCGUCAGCCAGGAGGCGCCCAAGGACGCGGUGAUGAAUGGAACCUGGUAUCCUCGAUGGGAUCUUGGAGCAGAGAAAGGAUGCUAUGUGAAAACUAAGGAAAUCUGAAUGAAGUAUGUACUUUAGUUAAUAAUAAUGUAUCAGUUGUAGUUCAUUAGUGAUAACAAAUGUACCACACUAAUGAAAGAUGUUAACAGUAAGGGAAAUGAGAUGCAGGGUAUUUGGAACCUCUGUACACUAUUUUCCCAAUUUCUCUGUAAAUAUCUAAAACUCUUCUAAAAUUGAAAGUUUAUUUUUAAAAACCUGUCAGACUGUGCCCUUUGAAUAUGUACAGGUUAUUGCAUUGUCUGUUGCUCUUUAUAAUGUGUUAUAUAUAUAAAUGUUCUAUGUAUAUGUA